rnacentral:tRNA from 2 species
GGAGAGGUGCUCGAGUGGUUGAAGAGGCACGCCUGGAAAGCGUGUAGCCGUCAAAAGCGGCUCGCAGGUUCGAAUCCUGUUCUCUCCG